UCCUGAUUGGCUGGCACGUUGCCAGAACUCUGUCAAUCACCGAGUGUAAACAAGGCUCUGAUUGGCUGCUGGCCAGUCCGCACUGGGGUGCCUGAAAAAAGCAAUUACUGCCCCUGCGGUUUCAAGGCGGCCCCGCGCUGAACGAUGAAAGGAGAUAAGGAGGGGCGGUUUCAAGGCGCCCCCCACGGCGAACCCUGUUGGCCCCAGAGCAAAAGGAGAGUCAAGAGUGACUAAAUCAAAGGGAAUACGAAAAUGGAGGAGAGAGCGGCAACAAGGACCGGGAAACAGCUUCGAGGGAGCUUCUUUUUACAAACACGGAGAGAAAAGUUUGUGUCGAGAAAGGAGACGGUGGACAGAGAGCGAUAGACCGGUGUGCAAGAGUUUUCCUCCGCGGCGAGGAGCCACACAUCCCCGGCCGCUUUUCUGCUGUCCAGCCCGGCCAGCCGAAGCCAGUUUCUCCCUGCUCUGGAGAUGUGGCGUCUGUGCACGAGUGUGUCACAUUUGAAAACGAAAUAAAUACACACAAAUUAAGCAUGCAAA